rnacentral:rRNA from 1 species
UGCGUAGGCGGAUUUAUAAGUCAGUGGUGAAAUCCUACAGCUUAACUGUAGAACUGUCAUUGAUACUGUAGAUCUUGAGUACGGUUGAGGUGGGCGGAAUGUGUCAUGUAGCGGUGAAAUGCUUAGAUAUGACACAGAACACCAAUUGCGAAGGCAGCUCGCUAAACCGUAACUGACGCUGAGGCACGAAAGCGUGGGGAGCGAACAGGAUUAGAUACCCUGGUAGUCC